rnacentral:rRNA from 1 species
AGCGGACGUUUGCGGCGGGCCUAACACAUGCAAGUCGAACGCACUAGCAAUAGUGAGUGGCGCACGGGUGCGUAACACGUGGGUAAUCAACCCUUCAGCCUGGGAUAACGACUCGAAAGGGUCGCUAAUACCGGGAUACGGCGCGAGAGGCUUCGGCUUCUCACGAGAAAGCCACGCAAGGGGCACUGAAGGACGAGCCUGCGGCCCAUCAGCUAGUUGGUGAGGUAAAAGCUCACCAAGGCUAAGACGGGUAGCUGGUCUGAGAGGAUGAUCAGCCACACUGGAACUGAGACACGGUCCAGACUCCUACGGGAGGCAGCAGUGGGGAAUAUUGCGCAAUGGGCGAAAGCCUGACGCAGCCACGCCGCGUGAGCGAUGAAGGCCUUCGGGUCGUAAAGACUCUGUGGGAGAGACGAAGAAAGACCUGUGAAGAGCAGGCCUUGACGGUAGUCUCCUUAGCAAGCACCGGCUAAC